UUGCUCUAUUGUCCAGGCUGGAGUACAGUGGCAUGAUCUUGGCUCACUGCAACCUCCAUCUCCCGAUUCAAGCAAUUCUCCUGCCUCUGCCUCCCAAGUAGCUGGGAUUACAGGCACACACCACCACACCCAGCUAAUUUUUGUAUUUUUAGUAGAGACGGGGUUUUACCAUGUUGGCCAGGGUGGUCUCAAACUCCUGACUUCAACUGAUCUGCCCACCUAGGCCUCCCAAAGUGCCAGGAUGACAAGCAUGAGCCACUGCGCCUGGCAGUGCUUCAAUUUCUGAUGCUCUUCCAAUAUGAUGUUACACGAAGGACCAGCCUGGCGUUGGUGGUGGUAACCCAAGGGAGGAGGAGCAAGCCAGAUGCAAGGGCAGUGGACUAAUGUGGUCGUUUCCCUCCCCAGGCCUUGGGACCUUUAUGUAACCCUGGUUCUUACUGGACAGACCUAGGAUUUGUCUAGCUGGAAGGGCCUUCCAAAGUUGCUGUCUCUACUCUUCUAGUUUUACACAGGACAAAGCUAAAGCCCAGAGGGUGAAUGACUUCUUUGAAGCUGGCUGAGGCCAAAAUUGAAACUAGAACUUUAUCUUUUAGAAGGAAAAUGUAUGCAGGACAAUUUUCUUUUCCUUCCUUCCUUCCUCUCUCCCUCCUUCCCUUCCUUGGUAAAUAUUCUUUACAUUUUAUUACCCUUUUAUUUUUCAGAAUAAAUCCUACUCCAGCUUACAAGUCUAUUUUGCUCUUGUCUGGAGAACACGGUUGUGGGAAGUCCACUCUGAUUGCCAACUGGGUUAAUUACUUCAAAAAGAAACAUCCGAGCAUGUUGUUGAUUCCUCAUUUUGUGGGCAGCACCUGUGAAAGCAGCUACAUCAUGUCUGUGAUCCAUGACUUCAUCACGGAAUUACAGUACAGAAACUACGGUACUCAGCUUGAAACAGAUAUUCUUAACGAAGACUCAGAUGGCUUGGUCUUUUCACUUCUUGUGGAAGUAUUCAUUGCUUCCAUCAGUUUAAAGCCAUACAUACUUGUACUAGAUGGAAUUGAAGAACUGAUUGGCAUUUAUGGGAUUUCAGGUCAGAAGGUAACGUCUUUUUAAAAUAACCCCUAUUUUAUCACAACUUUAUAAAAAUAAAACAAUUUAAAAGAAGAAAUACAAAGAAUAAAAACUUCAUUAUUUAGGAUGUAUUAUAUAUAACACCUUUCCAUUGUAUCACACAUCUCUGGUUUUAGCCAACACUGCUUUUAGUUACUGCUUUAUAUUUUAAUUAAUUAAGAGACAGGGUCUUGCUGUGUCGCCCAAGCUGGAGUGCAGUGGGAUGAUCAUAGCUCACUGUAACCUCCAACUCCUGGGCUCAAGCCAUCCUCUUGCCUCAGCUUCCAGACUGCAGGCGCACACCACCAUGCCUGGCCAAUUUUUUUCAACUUUUUGUAGAGAUGAGGUUUUGCUAUGUUGCCCAGUCUGAUCCUGAACUCCUGGGCUCAAGCAAGCUUCCCAGCCUGCCUUCCAAAGUGCUGGGAUUACAGGUGUGAGCCACCGCACCCAGCCCUGCUCUAUAUUUUAUUGAACAAAUACUUCUAUAAUGUAUUUACAAUGGGCCAGGCACCAUUUUAGGAACUUUAAGAACAUUAAUGCAUUUGGCUGGGCAUGGUGGCUCACGCCCGUAAUCCCAGCACUUUGGGAGGCCGAGGAGGGCGGAUCACCUGAGGUCAGGAGUUCAAGACCAGCCUGGCCAACAUGGUGAAACCCCAUCUCUACUAAAAAUACAAAAAUUAGCUGGGCGUGGUGGCAGGUGCCUGUAAUCCCAGCUACUUGGGAGGCUGAGGCAGGAGAAUUGCUUGAACCCGGGAGGCAGAGGUUGCAGUGAGCCAAGGUUGUACCAUUGCACUCCAGUCUGGGCAACAGGAGUGAAACUCCAUCUCCAAAAAAACAAAAACAAAAACAAAAACAAAAAAGAAUAUUAAUGCAUUUAAUUCGCACAACAACCAUAUGAAGAAGAGACUGUGCUCAUCUUCCCUAUUUACACAAGGCGAACUGCGCACAGAGAUGGUAGGUGGCUUGUCUAAGGUCCUAAGAUGGUUAAGUGGUGGACUCAGAAUUCAGACAUGGGCAUUCUGGUUCCAGCCACUGAGGCCUUUCCCCAUGCACAUAUCUGCCCCCUAUUUUAUACUUUGAUCAGUCUUACUGUUUUUUGUGUUUUAUAGUUUGGCCUACCUCAUCUUCACUGGUUUUACACAUACAAAAUCGCAUUCAUGGGUUGUCAUCUUCAGUUUUUCUCCUGUUUGAAAUAAUAUUGGAUCAGUGGAACCUCUACUAAUACUUGGCACUAGUUAUUACUUUGGGAAGCAGCUUCUUUAAAACUCAAAACUAUAUGUAAUCAAUCAAUUAUGUGAAUAAGAUCUGUUUCUCAUAGAAAAUAUGAUAAAAAAGAAGAAAAUAGGAAAUUAAAUACACUCAUAGUCUCACCACUGGUAACUAUUUUGCUGCUGUAUACCCUUUUUCCUAUGGAUAUCUAUAUAUACA
ensembl:lincRNA